rnacentral:tRNA from 1 species
UCCCUGGAGGACUAGUGGUUAGGCCACAGCGCUCUCACCGCCGUGGCCCGGUUUCGAUUCCCAGCCAGGGAA